GGUUUAGUCGUCUAGUGGUAUGAUUCUCGCUUUGGGUGCGAGAGGUCACGGGUUCAAUUCCCGGCUACCUCC
rnacentral:tRNA from 1 species